rnacentral:rRNA from 1 species
CGGACGGGUGAGUAACGCGUGGGUAACCUGCCUCAUGCAGGGGGAUAACGGUUAGAAAUGACUGCUAAUACCGCAUAAGCGCACAGUACCGCAUGGUACGGUGUGAAAAACUCCGGUGGUAUGAGAUGGACCCGCGUCUGAUUAGCUAGUUGGUGGGGUAACGGCCCACCAAGGCGACGAUCAGUAGCCGACCUGAGAGGGUGACCGGCCACAUUGGGACUGAGACACGGCCCAG